UACGUAGGGGGCAAGCGUUGUCCGGAUUUAUUGGGCGUAAAGAGCGUGUAGGCGGCCAUGCAGGUCCGUUGUGAAAACUGGAGGCUUAACCUCCAGACGUCGAUGGAAACCGUAUGGCUAGAGUCCGGAAGAGGAGAGUGGAAUUCCUGGUGUAGCGGUGAAAUGCGCAGAUAUCAGGAAGAACACCCGUGGCGAAGGCGGCUCACUGGCCCGGUACUGACGCUGAGGUGCGAAAGCGUGGGGAGCAAACAGG
rnacentral:rRNA from 1 species